GCUGCCUUCGGCAUCAGCAUCCUCCAAUGGGGGCAUAUCAGCAUCACCUUCACCUUCACCUGCAUCCUCAUCAAUGCUCAAGCCGAGUUUCAGCAUCCUGUGGAUUCUGUUGCCAAAGGUGUUAGGCUCAUCAAGGCUGAAGCCAGAGGUGAGGAGAGCAGUCUCGAAGAGAAGGAGAACAAGGUCCUUCACAGAUUUAUCAUUCUUCUCUGCAUCGGCUCUCUUUCUCAGCUCUUCCAUGAUGGGGUUCUCCGGGUUGAUCUCCAUUGUCUUCUUGCUUGACAUGUAACCAGCCAUGCUGUUAUCCCUCAAAGCCUGGGCCUUCAUGAUUCUCUCCAUGUUUGCAGUCCAACCAUACUCGCCAGUCACUAAACAGCAAGGUGAGUCAACCACACGAUCAGAAACCACAACCUUUUCAACCUUGUCACCCAGCACAUCCUUGAUGACCUUGCAAAGACCCUCAAACUUUUCCUUCAAAGCUUCCUUCUUCUUCUUCUCAUCCUCACUCUCAUCAAGUUUAAGACCUUCCUUGGUAGCUGACACAAGCUUUUUGCCCUCAAAUUCUUUGAGCUGUCCGACAGCAUACUCAUCAAUAGCAUCAACCAUGUAAAGGACCUCAUAACCCUUCUUCUUCAGCUUCUCAAGGAAGGGAGAGUUCUCAACUGCCUUUUUACUCUCACCAGUGAUGUAGUAGAUAUCAUUCUGACCCUCCUUCAUUCUGGUCACAUAGUCCUUCAAGCUGGUCAGCUCAUCACCACUCUUGGUGGAGUGGUAGCGGAGCAAUUCGGCAAUUUUAGUCCUGUUCUGAGAGUCCUCAUGGAUACCAAGCUUGAGGUUCUUUGAGAAUGCCUCAUAAAACUUGUUGUAAUCUUCCUUGUUCUCUGCUAUUUCAAAGAAGAGCUCAAUGCACUUCUUUACCAAGUUCUUGCGGAUAACCUUCAAGAUCUUGUUUUGCUGCAACAUUUCUCUUGAGAUGUUCAAAGGAAGGUCCUCUGAGUCGACAAUACCCUUAACAAAGCUGAGGAAUUCAGGAAUCAACUCCUCGCAGUUGUCCAUGAUAAAGACACGUCUCACAUAGAGCUUAAUGUUGUUGGGCUUCUUCCUUGUAUCAAAGAGAUCAAAAGGAGCCCUCUUGGGGACAAAGAGGACAGCCUUGAACUCAAGUUGCCCCUCAACUGAGAAGUGCUUGACGGCCAAAUGCUCUUCCCAGUCAUUUGUAAGGCUCUUGUAAAAAGCAGCAUAUUCUUCCUUGGUAAUCUCCUCAGGCUUCCUCAUCCAGAUGGGCUUCUGUUUGUUCACCAAAGACCACUCGUGCGACACCUCCUUAAUCUUCUUCUUUUUCUUUUCUUCCUUCUCUUUAUCCUCAUCAACAUCCUCAACUUUCCCUUCUUCGUCCUUCUUAUCCUCCUCAUCUUCAUCAUCAGAAAUCUCCUUCUCAGUGGUCUUCUCAAUCCAAAGGGAAAUCGGGUAGCUAAUAAAUUCAGAAUGCUUCUUAAUCAAAUCCUUCAAACGUCGCUCCUCAAGGUACUCAAGCUGAUCCUCUUUCAAAAACAGAGUAAUCUUUGUACCCCUACCAAGGUUCUCCCCGGAAGUAUCCCUGGUAACAGUGAAUGAACCACCAGCUUGGGACUCCCACACAUAUUGUUCAUCAUCAUUAUGCUUUGUGGUUACAAUAACCUUCUCAGCAACCAAGUAUGCUGAGUAGAAACCAACACCAAAUUGACCAAUCAUACUAACAUCAGCACCAGCAGCCAGUGCUUCCAUAAACUCCUUAGUACCAGAUCUUGCGAUUGUACCAAGAUUGUUCACCAAAUCUAAACAACAGAAAUAUAUAUCACAUUAAAAUAUGUUCAAAAUUGAAACUCCAGAACUGAGUGCACAACAAUUAAGUAGAAAUAACAAAGUACUUACCAGCUUUGGUCAUACCAAUACCACUAUCAAUGAUUGAUAGAGUGUUAUUGGUCUUGUCUGGAACAAUAUGAAUGAAGAGCUCAGGCUGUGCAUCAAGCUUGCUCUUGUCUGUCAAGCUCUCGAACCUGAUCUUAUCCAAAGCCUACAGGUAAAAGAUUUAACAUCAUAUACUAAUUACUAACCACACCAAAAGGGCACUUCAGUUAUGUUAUACGCAUUAGAUUCACGAGAUCUUUCUUAUUUACUCUUUUACAUUCAAAGAAACCAAAAAAAUGUACUAACAUACCGCUUCAAUUAAGUUCCAAUAAGCAUAAAUUAACGGCCAACUAAAAAUACAAAAGCUAAACCCUAAACCCUAAAAAUAUUUCACUAACAAAAGCAUUAUGCAAAUCAAAACAAACAACCACUGAACAGAAAAUUACGCAUUAAACAUCAUAACAACAUAUAUCCAAAGCCAAAAUAAACUCCAACAUUUCUAUUAUGAAACAAACAAACAAAAAGAAAUCCAUCAAUAUCGAAUAAAGAGAUCAGAUCCAUAUAACCACGUAUAAAAAAAUUCAAAAACUAUUAUUAUAGAACUUACAUCAGAGGCGUUACUGAUAAGCUCACGAAGAAAGAUCUCCUUGUUGCUGUAGAAAGUGUUGAUAAUCAAACUAAGAAGCUGAUUGAUCUCAGCUUGAAAUGCAAACGUCUCAGUAUCCGCCAUUGAUGAUAAACCUCUAACCUCCCGAUCCAAAACACACUAAGAAAUAUCGUAAAAUGAGAGAGUAUUCAAAUUUCGAAUAGAGAGAAAGAGGAGAAAAUAUCAGAGUGAGGCAGUUCUGUGAUGCAAGGCUUAAGGGUACCUUAUAUAGGGGAACUUCAUUAGGGUUUCUAGAUCCUUCUAUUGACGUACUUUUAAAAAAAAUAUAUUUUUGGGUUUACCUAUAUAAUAGCAGAAUAGGGAAUGCGGGAGCCACUCAUUUAUAUGCUUAAUACUUUUCUUCGCCAAUUAGACUUUGCUUUCUUUUUUUGACUUUUUUUGUUAUAUUUAUUAUAAAUAUAUAAAAUAGAAGGCAAAAAUGUUCGCUUAAAAUUAAAUUAAAUGUUAAAAAAUAAAAAAUUAUAUUCAAUUAAAAAAUAGAAAAUUUAAAAAAAAUUAUGAAUCAAGACGAGAUGAUGUUUUUUUUUCAAAUACAUUUUUUAGAAAAAAUAAAUAAAAAUUACUAAUGACGGAAAAUGCUUUUGGUUAAAAUCAUUUUUUGUAAAACGUGUAUGAUAAGUAACAUUUUAGCUUCCACGUUCGAUGAAGCUUCUUAUGGAAACUUUGAAAACGACUUUAAAAUUUAUAGAAUUUAUUAGAAUUAGUGGGGAUGAUGGGUCAGGUUGGGUUUGGUUCAAGUCGGAUCGAGUCAGGUUGGGCAUCAAUAUAAUUUUAGAUUCUGUCUAAAAGAUAGACUUAAAAUUUUGUCUAUAUUUGACUCGGAUAAAAAUAUUAAAACCUGAGCCCGAAUUGAUCUGCCCGUAUUGAAAAUAAAUUUAAAAUUUUUUAAUAUUUAUGCUUAAAUAAGACUAUAGGUGUUCAUGGGCCGAGUUGGGCUCGGGCCUAAGAAUUUUUUCCCGGGCUGGGUCUGGACAAAAUUUUAGGCCCAUAUUUCGGGCCGGGCCGGGCCCGGGCCUAGUAUGCGGGCCAAAAUUUUUUAUGGGCCGGGCUGGGUUACUAAUGGCGGAAAAUGCUUUUGGUUAAAAUCGUUUUUUGUAAAACGUGUAUGAUAAGUAACGUUUUAGCUUCCACGUUCGAUGAAGCUUAUUAUGGAAACUUUGAAAACGACCUUAAAAUUUAUAGAAUUUAUUAGAAUUAGUGGGGAUGAUGGGUCAGUUGGGUUUGGUUCAAGUCAGAUCGGGUCAGGUCGGGCAUCAAUAUAAUUUUAGAUUCUGUCUAAAAGAUAGACUUAAAAUUUUGUCUAUAUUUGACUCGGAUAAAAAUAUUAAAACCUGAGCCCGAAUUGAUCUGCCCGUAUUGAAAAUAAAUUUAAAAUUUUUUAAUAUUUAUGCUUAAAUAAGACUAGAGGUGUUCAUGGGUCGGGCCGGGUUCGGGCCGGGCCCAUAAAAAAUUUUGGCCCGCAUACUAGGCUCGGGCCCGGCCCGGCCGGAAAUAUGGGCCUAAAAUUUUGUCCAGACCCGGCCCGGGAAAAAUUCUUAGGCCCGAGCCCGGCCUGGCCCGGCCCUUUUUUUAAAAAUAAACACCAAUUUUUAAAAAAAUUUAAAAAUAUUUUUAAAAUAUUUUUGAAAUAUUUUAAAAUAUAAAAAAUAUAAAAAAUAUUUUUUAUUAUAUAUUCGGGCCGGGUCGGGCCCAGGCCAAAAAAGUCGUGCCUGAGGCCCCCAAACUCAUAUUUCGGGCCUAUAUUUUUAUCCGAACCCUCCCAUAUUUCGAGCGGGCCGUCCGGCCCAUGAACACCUCUAAAUAAUACUAAGAUAUGUGCAAGUUAGUAAGGAAAUAUCUUUAAAAUAGUAGCAAAAUUAAUAAUAAAACAAGAGUUGUACAAUAUUCAAACAACAACAACAAAAUAAUAAUAAUAUAAUAACGAAAUAGCAGCAAAACAGUGAAAAAGCAACACCAAAACAGUGGAAACAGCAGCAGGUUUGUUUGUUUCUUUACAAAUUGGGAUCAGACCAGGCUGGGCAUGGGCCAAAAAUAGCUUACCCAAGACUCGACCCCUUUAGAAAAUGGGUUUCAUUUUUUUGCCUAAGCCUAUUUUUUGAGCCUAUAUUUUUACCCAAACCCUCUCACUUUUAGGGCAGGCCUUCGGACCUGAUCGAGUGACCUGGCCCAUGAUCAAGUCUAAUUAGAAUAGUUCUUGCACUUUAAAUACUAGGUUUUUAUUCACCAUUUGGCUUUUGAAGUAUAUUCAUUUUUUUAUAUUUGUACCUAAAUUUUUUUGUACCAUUUUAGUACUUGAAUUAUAAUUUUGUUACACUUUUUUGGCCAUUGCCGUUAAUGGUGUUAAAAGAACAAAAAUCGAUUAGAACACACUAUGUGUUCCUGUUGACCGUUGAUGUGGACGUUGAUCGAGUUUUAUCCAAAUAAAAAUCAUUUAAAAUUAUAAAUGUCGAAACCAUUUUUUGAAAAACAAAAAAUUUUAGGUUGUCGACUUUUUAAAAAAUUAAAAUUGGGAGUCGCCACCAAUCUUUAUUAGGGUGUGAUUGGAUCACCUAAAAACGGCUUUGGUCUACGAGUUUUAGAAAAAUGGAUCCGGGAGUCAGUUACGUAUGAGGAAGGAUUAGCACCCUCGUAACGCCCAAAAUUGGUACCUAGUUAAUUAAUUAGUGUCUUAAGGUCAAGAAUUUGGAAAAAAUGUAAUCCUUAACAAAACUUAAAAGGCUACGUAUUAAGACCAUUAUUAUUUCAGAGAAAGAAGAUACCACACCCAAUGCGUUAGGGCACAGCAUUCUAAUUUUCCCCAAAAUGAAUUGGGCCAAAAUACUUGUACAAUAAAAUUUUAAAAGAACAUCCACUUAUCCAAGAUUUAAGAAAUCACACUCAAUACGUUAGGGCACGAUUCCUCUAGAAUCCCAAACUCGGAAUAUUUCCUUUACUUUAAAAGAACAUCCACUUAUCCAAGAUUUAAGAAAUCACACCCAAAACGUUAGGGCACAAUUCCUUUAAAAUCCCAAACUCGGAAUAUUUCCUUUAUUGUUUUUAGAAAAAAAAUUCAUUUCGAGAAAUCAAUGCGUCACAUCCAAUACGUUAGGACACAACGUGUUGAAUUCCCAAUAAUGAAUUAUUAUUUUUUGAUUAAAGAGAAAUGCUCGAUUGUUAGACUUAACGAAGAAAAUCGGAACCCAAUACGUUAGGGCUCAAUUUCCUUGAAAAUUCUAAUUUCAAGCAUUCUCUCAAUUUUGAAAAGUUUGAAAUCGUGUAAAGAAUGAUGUGAUGCUAUAUUAAAUAUACAAUGCAAUAAUAAAUAUUACAAAGGCCUAGAAAUAAUAUAAAUAAAUGAAUAAAUAAAAUCAAUAUACAUAAUAAAAAUAAUCACAUAUAAAAUAUCAAAUAAAUCAUAAAAAAAAUUCUUUUUAACAUAUAAACGGAAACAUGAAUUAAUAAUCGAAUGAAGAAAAUAAACAAAAUAUAAAGAAUUAAAGGCACAUAAUAUAUACAUUGAAAUUAAAAGCCAUACACAUAAUUUACAUAUGUAACUUUGGAUUAAAAUUUAUAAAAGCAGAAUAUAUAAUGCAUUUGUGAAAAUAAAAUAUAAAUUAUAAAGUAAGUGUUAAAAAAUACAUAUAUUUGAGCAUUUAAAAAAAUAAAUAUAUUCAUAUAUAUAUACAAGUAUAUAAAAAAACUGGUUAAAAAUAUUAAUAUGUAUACAUACAUAUAUAUACAAAGAUAAAUAUAACAUAUAUAGAUUAUAAAAAAUAAUUAUAUAUAAAUAAAAUAAAAUAAAAAUAGUUACCUCAUAUUAAAAAAAUAAAUCUGCGAAAAAUAUUAGUUUUUAAAAAAAAUAUAAAUACGCACAUAGAAACAAGUAUACAUAUAUAUAGCUAAAAUAAUAAUAAUUACAUAUGAAAAUAAUAAUAAUUACAUUAACAAAAUUAACUAAUUUUAAGAAAAAUAUAAAAAGGAUUAAAUUGAACUACAAGUAAACAAAUUUGGGGUCAAUCUGCAAAUAAAUAAAAUUUGGAGGACUAAAUUAAACGAGCAAAUUACAUAGAGGGGCUGGAAGGGAAAUUUCCCUUCUCCUCUAAAAUGGUGUCGUUCAAAAGGAUUAAAUUGGAAUUUAAAAUAAAUAAAAGGGUAAAUUAAAAAAAAGAAAGAAAACUUAAUUAAAAAAACAUUAAAAGGCGGAGGGGCUAAAUAAAAAAAUAAAUAAAAUUCGCAGUGAUAUCACCUUCUCCCUUUUUUAAAAUCGUGAAUAAGUAAAAAAAAUAAUCGAAAGAAAAAAAUAGUAAGCCACCUUUAAAAAACUGCCAAUCGUUCUUUUUUAUUCCUCCUCCUCUUUCCUCUUUUUUUUACAAUGAAGGAAGAGGCCUCUAUUUAUAAUUGAGCCUCCCCAAAUCAAACGGUACAGAUCAACGGCUGAGAUUAAAGGGUGUCUACAAAUUAAAUCUCUAAGAUUACAAAAUCGUAUCUUCUAAGAUUACAUAUCAUAUCUAGGAUUGCAUAUCAUAUCUAAGAUUUCAUAUCCUCAAAAAUUAUGUUUCCAUAUGUGAGCCCGGGCUAAAAUUGGGUAUUACAAUAAAUUUUUUGAUUUUUUUUAUUCCAUGUGAUGCCUUUGUUUGAUGAUGUUGGUAGGGAAGUCAUUCAUCUUUCUUGGGUAAUUUGAUAAACAAUCACCAUGGAUUUUGAUUCAAAGAUCCUUUAAAUAUGCAACAAAUGAUUGUUUCAAGAACAAGGAGAGAAAUAAAUAAGUAAUCAACAAUCUUUCCAAUGCCAAAGAAGCAUUAAUAUUUUUCAAAAACUUGUAAAUCGUCAUCACUUGGAAUUUAAAUAGUGCUUCAAUGACCCAAAUUUAUGGCGGAGAAACAACAAGAAAGAAAAUUGUUUUUACCAUUUUUAAGCAAAAUACAAUCUUUGUAGGUUGCUAAUGUUCCUUUACAAGUUUACAUGUGUAACACCCUUUAUUCGAGUAAACUCGGGCAAUGAGUGUUACAUUUAACACUGAACAUUUACUUACGAAUUCAAAUAGUUUUAAAUUGGAAUUUUACAAAAGAUAUCAGGUCCUUAUUAUGUUUUUAGGAACAUAAUUUAUCUAAUAAUAAAGAUUAAUUGCAUGUAAAUAUUGUUUUAGAUCUCAUAUCACUUAAUUAAAAUUUUUGCCCUGCAGGUCUGUAUGUCUCGAGACCAUGGCCUUCAUGUCUCAAGAUAUUGUCAUGGCAUUGUAGAAAUUUGGCUUUGAAAUUGCCUUAUCUAGGGAAAAUAGGGCUUUUUUCUCGAGAUAAAGUCCAAUAUAUCUUGAGACAUGGCAAUGUUAUUGUAGAUUUUUAGGUUCGCAGCUUUGAUGUCUCGAAACAUAUUUUGAGUAAUACCCAUCGCCUGACCUAAUUGUCGAGUCCAAGCUACCGGAUGCUACAGUCAUUGCCGAAGCAAUUACAGUUAAUUUACAAGAAAAUAAUCAUAAUCGCAUAUAAUUUAACAUCAAACACAUUCAUCUAUAGUUAAAGAAUCAAAACCGAGUCUUGUUCAAGCUUACAAAAGCUCUUUUGUCAACCUGAGCUCAAAAUAGGACCAAAUUGCAAAUUUUUAAAAUUUCAAGGUUGACGUCGUGAUGUCUCCAAAUAGUUUGUCAUGUUGUGACCUCAAGCCUCUCGACGUCACAACGUGACUCACAUUGAUCGACAUUGCGACGAGAUAGGUUACUCAUCGGGAUGUGAACUCUAUUUUUGGUAAAAAAAAUAGACCAUUUGGUACCUAUUUCAAAUAUUCCCAAACAUACCUAUCAAUUUACGCACCAAAGCCAACUUCAAUUGAACAAAAACAUACCUCAAGCAUACCAAGACACAUAACAUUUCAUACCAAAUCAAGUCAUCAAAUACUUCCAUUCAACCAUUUCAACAUAAGUUCAACUACUAUCAAUUAUUCAUUUUCAUACAUUCCAUCAAAUACCAUUCCAUAUAAAUCAACCAAACCAUUCAAUUAUCAAUCCUUACCUAGGCCAAGUAAUAUAGGAUCAUGCCAUUUCAUUUUCAUUUCAAAGACUUCAGCAUGUUUGCACAUCUAUUCAUUCAACUUACCAUUUCUUCCAUAUUUAACUUUUAGCAUAUCAAAUGACAUGUUCAAGUUUAAAAUCAUCAAUUAAACAACAUCAAGCAUUAGCUAAUAUUUCAUACACCAUCUAGUACAUACCAAUUUUUCAACAACUCAAUAUUUGCCACAAAUAUCAAACGUACCAAAUGAUCAACAUAGUGACUAUUUCCUUAACAUCUAAUCCUUAUAUACAUGUCAUGAUCCCAAAACUCAAAGUGAUCAAAAAUCUUACCAAUUUAAGGAUAGUGUGAGUUUCGAGGUAAUCCGGCUUGACGUGUUCCACAAGGUAUUGAUCUACAAGGAAAAGGAAAAACAACGGGGUAAGCAUAUAAAAUUCUUAGUAAGUUCAUAUGAAAUUUACAUUACUUACCUUAACAAUUCAACAAGCUAGAUUACUAAACAUAUUGGCAUUUAAUUGCCCUUCCUUGACAUACUUUGAUGCAACUAAGACACAUAAACAUAUACAACCAAAUAGGUUACCAAGAUCAUUUAGUAAGUAAUCAUAUACCAUAACUCAAUUUGAAAGCAUAUGCAAUCCAAUAUAUGCCUAAACCAUUUUAAUAUUUCCAUUUCCAUUAGGUUAAAGUUUCAUCUGAGGGAACUAUAGUAAAACGAACUCGGAUAAACGGGAAUAUUUUACUUACACAACCUGACAUUUUAACGAAAAUGCUCACACAAGUUGGCAUCGUAUUGAGGUUACUAGUCCAGGCUAAACCAACAAUACAUAUAACUUGAGAAUCUGCAACAAAUGCUAUAUCUCGUAUCAUCAUUUAAAUCCUUGAUCGAUUACGUGUAUAAUCCUAAUGACAUGUAAUAUGUAUCUUAAUCUUUUACUAAGUUCACACGAGUAUUAUUUUCGUCUACAUAUCAUUAACAAACCUUGUACUAGUUUACAUAUUUCAUACAAGUGCUGUAAACAUUCAACAUUCACAUUUGAUACUCCGUACCUAUUCGUAAUAACCAAUAUUUUCAUGUUUUUCAAUUCAGUCCAUGUGAACUCAAAUAUGUUAAUUUCACCAAUUAAGUAUAAACACCCAAUUGAAACAAUACAAUUCAAAAUUUUUUUUAAUAAUUUCCAUAUGAACUUACCUGGUAAAACAACAAAUAAAUGAAUCUUUGAGGACUAAUUGAUAAUUUUUGCUUUUCCUCAAUUUCUCUGGUUUGGUUCAAUUUUUGAUCUAUAUAAUUAUUCAAUUCAAUUUAUCAAUACCAAAAAUUUUUAUAUCAUCUCAUAAUAUGCAUGAACUAGUUUAAAUUCCAUCUUUUCAAAUGCCUAUAAAUUUUACAUUUUAUUCAAUUUAGUCCCUAAACCCGAAAUAGAAUAACUUUCAAUUUUAAGCUUCGAUUUCAGAGCCAAUCUUAAUCACAUCCUUCUAGGACCCUCUAUUAUCUAUUAUUAUAGAAAUUUCAUAUCAAAUAUUCAAUUUAUACACUUUAGUCAUUUUUGACAAAACUAACAAUUAAACUUUAAAUUUUGGUCCCUUUUUCACAUCUAAGUUUAAAAUUUAUCAAUUUAACAUCAAAUUAUUUAAGAAAUCAUCAAUGGGAACUUUUAAAAACUUUAACAAUUUUACAAAUUGGUACAUGGGCUAGCUAAAUCAAGCUCUCAUGACCACAAAAACAUAAAAGUUACACGAAAAGAACUUAAUUGAGCAUACCUAAUAGUUGCUGAAACUUUGAAGCUUUUGAAACCCUAUUUCUCCCUUUUAGUUUGGUGGAGAAGAUGGUGCAGAGAAAAAAAUGGUUUGUUUUUCUUUUAAUUUUUGCUUAUAUACCUUUAAUUAACUUGAUUAAUCAUAAUUAAUUAAUAAAAACUUAAUUAAUUAAACCUUAAGUGUAAUCAGCCAAUGGGUUUUAAAUACAUCCACCACUAUUUGAAGCAAUUAAAAUGGUUUAAUUGCCUUUUUGAUCCUUUAGCUAUUUAAAAAUCUAUAGUGAUAAGAUUUUUAUAAUUUAGUCCAUGUACCCUAAUUAACUAUCAAUUCAGAAAAAUUACUAGACCAAAAUUUAAUAUAUUUUUAUAUUAACCUCGUAAAUAUUAAAUAUUAAUAUUUAUGGACUUAAACUACGGAAAUAGGGUUCUGAAACCAUAGUUUCUGACCCCACUAACAAUCGGGUUGUUACAUAGUUUCUUCCGGCUCCCAUGUAGCCUUUUAUGUACUGUAAUUAAUACUUUCAUUAGUGCCACAUGUUUAUUUCUUAAAUAUUUUAUUCUCGAGCUAAAAUCUUUACCGAUUCUUCACUAUACAUCAAAUCCGGAUGUAAUUCUAUUUCAUCAGGAGAUAACAUAUGGGAUAGAUAGGAUAUAUAUCAUCGUAACAUUGAUACGUGGAAGACAUUAUGAAUCUUGUCUAAUUAUGGACGUAGAGCUAGUUGAUACGCUACAGGUCCAAUUCUUCCAAGAAUUUCAUGCGACCCAAUAAACCUCGGACAGAGUUUUUUUUUCUGUCAAAAUGCAAAACUUUCUUCCAAGACAAAACUUUCAGAAAGAUUUUAUCACAAAUCUGAAAUUCAAUGUCUUUUCUUUUUAAGUCACUAUAAGACUUUUUUCUGUCGAAAGUAACUUUCAAACAGUCUCGAAUAAUCUAGACCUUUUCUUUUAUUUCUUGUAUCAAAUCAAUUCCUGUUAACUUUCUUUCGCUUAACUCUAACCAGCAUAGAGGAGUUAUGUAUUUACAACCAUAUAAAACCUCGUAAGAUGCCAUUUUAAUGCUCGGAUGAUAGCUAUUGUUGUGAGCAAACUUAUCUAACGGUAGGAAUCUUUUCCAGCUACCUUCAGAUUUAAUCACACAACAUCGUAACAUAUCUUUGAGUAUUUGAAUCACUCGUUUUGAUUGCCCGUCAGUCUGAGGAUGAAACGCUAUACUGAAAUUCAGUUUCAUACUCAAGGCUUCGUGUGACUUACCCCAAAAUCUGGAGGUAAAUCUUGAGUCUCAGUCUAAAAUGAUAGACAAUGGCACACUAUAUAAUCUGACAAUAUCUGAGAUAUAAAUUUUAGCUAACUUCUCAUGGUAACCAUUACUAUCUUCCUAAAUAAAAAUAUUAAUUAAUUACAAAUAAUAAUUAAAUCAUUUUUCCUGGACAAAUGGCUUGUGAUCAUGUUACUUUUCCAUUUAUCAUGUAAUGCCAAUGGAAGAAUAUCAUUUACCAUAUUUGGGCUAUGAAUUCCACUAUUGUAAGUGGUGUUAUGUCAUGCAGAAGUUGUAUACCUAAUAUACCAACUUUUGGCUCUAUUACCCAUUUGAACUUGGGUUUUUAAUAUCUAUGCAAAGAAGGGCAGAAGGUCUUUGGGAGAACCCUUUAGGAAAACACUAGACAAGAACAUCCUUAGAUUAUCAAGUGUUGGACUUGUUCCCUUGGUUGAAGGAUCUUCACUUGUAGCUACUUCUUUGUUGAAAUAUGUUCCUCUGAACGUUGUUGCCUCCACCCCUUUGAAUAGCCUUUAAGGUACUAGCCUAUAAAUGAGCUUGAAAGUUAUAGAAAUCAUACCCUCCUUCAAGUGGCAAAGACAAAUGUCCCUCUACUAAUAUAUCUUUAGUCUACCUUUUAUUUUCUUACUUGUGUGUUGUUUUUUUUAAUGAAUGAGAGAGAAAACUUGGAGUAAAAACUUCAAUUGUUGGAGGGGGAAUUGGAAGUUUUAAAGAAUAAGUGUUUUAAUAAGGAUAGUCACCCGAAAAGAGACCAAUUACAUUAUGUGUAACACCCUAAUUCUGGCUCAGAAGUCCAGUUGGAUCCAAAGCCUUAUAGUGGUCGCUAGCACGAACUAGUUCAAUCAAUCAUUCAAUUUAGUCUCAAAAUUAAAAAUUCAAAGAAGUCCAUGAUUCAUAACAAUACUAAAAAUCUAAAUUUUAUCAUUUCAUCUGAAUUUUCUGAAACAAUUCAUUUUAGGCUUAUUCACAAUUUAGCCCUUGAAAUAUACCAAUUUUUCCAUUUUAAUACCUAAAUUUUUUUGUCCCAAUUUUUUACCUAAAGUAUCAAUUUCCUCUAUUUUUGGUCCAUUUGUAACAGAAAUUAAAAAAAAACUGUUAGGCAACUUUGGCCAAUGAAAAAACGGCACAUGGCAUGUUUUGGCCAAUGAAAAAAUGCCACAUGGCAAUUAAUUUUAUUUAAAAUAAAUUAUUAAAUUUAAACUUAAAAAUAAAAAAUUAUAAUAUUAAAAAUACUUUUGACAUUGACCAACCACAACAUUGACUUGCCACAUAGCGCAAUUAGAACAUACAAUGUGUCCCUUUUUUUUUACUAUUAUAUUGAUUAAGAAUGUAAAAAAAAUCAUAUAUAAUAUAUACUUUUUAAAAAAAUUAAAAAUAUUUUUUUAUAAAAUUUUAAAAUAUAUAAUUUUAAAUUUUAAAAAUUCAAAAUAAUAUAUAAAAAUUAAAAAGUGUUAUAAAAAUUAAAAAAAGGUAUUUAAAUUUUUUUACACUUUUAGUAAUAAUAUUAUUAAUUUCAACUAAUUUCUUUUCAGUUAUCCUAUUUUUUAUAAAUUUUAUUUUUAUAAAAAAUUAUAAUUUAUGUUUUUUCUAUAUUUUAUAUUUAUUUAUAAUUUUAAUAUAUUUAACUUUAUUUUUUAUAUUUUUAAUGUAUAUAUGCAUUUAGUAAAAGAAAAUAUUUAUUUUUACAUCAAAAUGUACAUGGCGCUUUGUGAUUAGUUACAAGAUUUUUUUUAUCGUUUGUCAGAAAAUGAACUAAAAAAUAUAAGGGAGACAUAUACCAAAUUGAGGAUUUAAGUGUAUUUUAGAUAUCAAAUUAGGGAAAAAAAUUAAGUACCAAAAUGAAAAAAUUGGGAAUUCUUUAAAAGUCAAAUGAUGAAUUAAGCCUUUAUUUUACCAAUAUUAUACAAAUAGUUCGAAAAAUUUUCACCGAACUGAUCUCAUAUCAGCAUGAACUCAAUACUGAAAUUUUCGGGGUGUUGCAUUAUGUUAUUAAGAGCAAGGAUAAAGAGUUGGCAUUGUUGGAGAGAGAGACAAAGCAUUGUCUGAGGAACUGAAGAGGGUAAUGAAGGAGCUACCUGUUGAUACAGCAAAGAAUGAAGAUCUAGUCGAGCAGAUACUCAACACUACACAAUGCCACCGCGAAUGGACGCUUUGGAAAUGCAGCUAAAGUAUGGGCCAUUAGAUUUCCUCAUGAGUUGUUGCAUCCCGUGUUAGAACCCUUAUUAAAAAGAGUGGAGCUUCGUGCUACUGUUGCUGCUCCACUAGAGAAUAAUGAGAGACUACGAAGGAAGCUACUCUAGAUGCUACCCUAGGCUUUGAAUAGAAUGUUAUAAUUAGUCAAGCGACUACUUCUGUUGUCGAGGAUGACUGAACUUUUAUAUUGUUUUUAUGAACCAUUGGUUUUGUUUUUUCGUGUUUGUUGUUUAUGAUCUAGGUUCAAAGUUGUUUGGAUCAGUGACGAUCAGGCUAGGUUGCUUAGCAGAAGAAUCCAUGAAGGAUUCCCAGAAACGACAUCAAUUCUUGACAUCGUUUUUGUGAUAUUGGUCAAGAUAGGUUGAAGGUGAGCUAUUGGUGAUCAGUAACACAAAAUCAAAGGGUGCAAGAGUCUUCUGAAGCACCCUCUGCUUAAGACAACAAAGUAUAACGGAAGAAGGAUCAAAGAAAGCAGGGUUUAUGGAAGAGAUUGUUUUCGUACCUGAUCAACAUGGUGAAAGUGCAUAUUUAUAGGCUUUGUGCCUAGAGCUGCUCGGGCUGGUGCCUCGAUUUCAGUUGGUUGUGCUUGGGCAUUUUUUUCGCAUAUUCAAGGUCAUUAGCUUCCUACCUUAUUUCGUUUUAACUCUUCUCGGUCCUUGAUUGUGUGAAAGCUUUUGAGCUUUGCACAAGAAGGUCCCUUAUGAAGCAUUUCAAACCUGUUCUUAUUAUAUUAUGAGCUGAUAACCUUUUUGUGGGUUUUUGGUGAUUGAUUAGCCUACUAUUGAUUAGACCAUUAUAUUUGUCUGGGCUUGAGCCUGUGUGUAUUGUCUUUAGGUCUAUACAUUGAAUUUUGUGUAUUAAAACUGUUAUUUUGGAUUUAUCCAAAAUCAAAAUGGUAUUGGAUUUAGAUGUGUUGAAUGAGUUGAGAUAAGGCUAUUCAAACUGAAAAAAGAAGAUUAACACACUUGUGAGUCGGCGUAGCUAUGCGUGUCGACGGUGCUUGCUUUGCAUGCUUGAUUAAUUUCCUCGACACCUACGGCUCGUUGUCGACGGUAUUUCCUACUUGGUGAUUCGCAGAAGUUCCUGCAGCCGUUACCCCCAUUAUUCACAUUUUUGUUUGUGGAAAUCAAAAGAAAAUACAUCUACUGCUGCUACUGCUGCUACUGCUGCAUACAAUACCGGAUAUCUUAACAAGGCUUUACACCAUUCAAUAUUAAAAAAGAAAAAGAAAAAGGAAGCGGUCCCAUCAGAUCAUAUGGAAGUUAAUUUCCAACUUUCACAUUUUUAAUUCAAGUAAAGACCUGAUGAAGCAAUGUAUAAUAACCAUUUAAGAAAACAUAUGGCAACAGCAACCAUUCUAAGCAAGCACCAAAGAUAAGGCACCGAUAAAAUGUAUAAAUAUACCAGAAACAGAACAGCAAUUAUCAUUAAGAACUUUCUCCAAAAUCACUAACAAAACCUCCCAAAAAGGCACAAAACAAAAUAUUAAACCUAAGGAUAACUUCAAUAAUAAUUAAAAAAAAACUAGUAAAAAGUUCCAACAAGAAGAGUGGUGCUUAGUCAACUUCUUCCAUCUUGCUGCCUUCAGCAUCAGCAUCCUCUAAUGGGGGCAUAUCAGCAUCAGCUUCACCUUCACCUGCAUCCUCGUCAAUGCUCAAGCCGAGUUUCAGCAUCCUGUGGAUUCUGUUGCCAAAGGUGUUAGGCUCAUCAAGGCUGAAGCCAGAGGUGAGGAGAGCAGUCUCGAAGAGAAGGAGAACAAGGUCCUUCACAGAUUUAUCAUUCUUCUCUGCAUCGGCUCUCUUUCUCAGCUCUUCCAUGAUGGGGUUCUCCGGGUUGAUCUCCAUUGUCUUCUUGCUUGACAUGUAGCCAGCCAUGCUGUUAUCCCUCAAAGCCUGGGCCUUCAUGAUUCUCUCCAUGUUUGCAGUCCAACCAUACUCGCCAGUCACUAAACAGCAAGGUGAGUCAACCACACGAUCAGAAACCACAACCUUUUCAACCUUGUCACCCAGCACAUCCUUGAUGACCUUGCAAAGACCCUCAAACUUUUCCUUCAAAGCUUCCUUCUUCUUCUUCUCAUCCUCACUCUCAUCAAGUUUAAGACCUUCCUUGGUAGCUGACACAAGCUUUUUGCCCUCAAAUUCUUUGAGCUGUCCGACAGCAUACUCAUCAAUAGCAUCAACCAUGUAAAGGACCUCAUAACCCUUCUUCUUCAGCUUCUCAAGGAAGGGAGAGUUCUCAACUGCCUUUUUACUCUCACCAGUGAUGUAG
rnacentral:lncRNA from 1 species